AGUGAACGCUGGCGGUAGGCCUAACACAUGCAAGUCGAACGGCAGCACAGUAAGAGCUUGCUCUUACGGGUGGCGAGUGGCGGACGGGUGAGGAAUACAUCGGAAUCUACUUUUUCGUGGGGGAUAACGUAGGGAAACUUACGCUAAUACCACAUACGACCUACGGGUGAAAGCAGGGGAUCUUCGGACCUUGCGCGAUUGAAUGGGCCGAUGUCGGAUUAGCUAGUUGGCGGGGUAAAGGCCCACCAAGGCGACGAUCCGUAGCUGGUCUGAGAGGAUGAUCAGCCACACUGGAACUGAGACACGGUCCAGACUCCUACGGGAGGCAGCAGUGGGGAAUAUUGGACAAUGGGCGCAAGCCUGAUCCAGCCAUACCGCGUGGGUGAAGAAGGCCUUCGGGUUGUAAAGCCCUUUUGUUGGGAAAGAAAAGCAGCAGGUUAAUACCCCGCUGUUCUGACGGUACCCAAAGAAUAAGCACCGGCUAACUUCGUG
rnacentral:rRNA from 1 species